AAUGUUCUUCGGGGUUGGGUGAGAUGCCCUACCGGUAGUAAAGCCUACGAGUCCCGCGAAAGCGGGAUUGAAUCCGUGAAAUUCGGAUGCCGACGGUUGGUUGCACAUAGUCCGGAUGGAAGAAGAACGUA
rnacentral:ncRNA from 2 species